rfam:Manacus vitellinus contig38946, whole genome shotgun sequence.
AUCACCAUCUUACUGGGCAGCAUUGGAUGUUUUCUGCUUUUCUAAUACUGCCUGGUAAUGAUGAUGAU